AGGAACAAGGUAGCCCUAGAGCCUGUGCUAUUCAAUAUAGCUGUACGUAUGUCGACUGUCGAUAAGUUUUGUAAAGGAUCGAUUGAAUUCAAUGCAGUAGUAAAUACAUUAUUGAAAAUGGAGUAAAGACGAGCACCACCUGAAAGUUCUUUUGUGGGAAUAUUUGAAGAAUUUCCAUCUAUACUAGCAAUGAACGUGUUGGCAAAGCGAUUCAUCGCCUGCAAUAAAAUAAUUCCACGUUGACUCUGAUCAGAAAGUUUAAAGUCACCGUAAUUGUUUAGUUGUUGUUGAGUUUGAGAUAUUAGAGUGCUAAGGCGGGCUUUGAUAUCGGGAAGGCGCUCACGGAUAUGUGAUACCAAUAGAUUACUCAAUGUCUUGGCAAGAUAGGGUGUUCCACAACGAUCUUUAAUGGUACGAUAUGCCGGAUGAUGUUCAAAAAAAGAGCGCUCAGAUUGCAAAGCAUCUCUCAUGGAUUUGUGAGAUACAAUAUCAGACUGGGAACGGUUAACAGUUGC